rnacentral:rRNA from 1 species
UACGUAGGGUGCGAGCGUUGUCCGGAAUUAUUGGGCGUAAAGAGCUCGUAGGCGGUCUGUCGCGUCGAUCGUGAAAACUUGGGGCUUAACCCUGAGCUUGCGGUCGAUACGGGCAUGACUGGAGUUCGGCAGGGGAGACUGGAAUUCCUGGUGUAGCGGUGAAAUGCGCAGAUAUCAGGAGGAACACCGGUGGCGAAGGCGGUGAUCUGGGCCGGCACUGACGCUGAGGAGCGAAAGCGUGGGUAGCAAACAGG